GUUAUAAUAGUUUAAAUAAAAACUUUGGUCUUGUAAACCAAAAUUAGAUACAUCUUUAUAAUU
rnacentral:tRNA from 1 species